rnacentral:rRNA from 1 species
UACGUAGGCAGCGAGCGUUGUUCGGAGUUACUGGGCGUAAAGGGUGUGUAGGCGGUUGUUUAAGUUUGGUGUGAAAUCUCCCGGCUCAACUGGGGGGGUGCGCCGAAUACUGAAUGACUAGAGUGCGGGAGAGGAAAGUGGAAUUCCUGGUGUAGCGGUGAAAUGCGUAGAUAUCAGGAGGAACACCGGUGGUGUAGACGGCUUUCUGGACCGUAACUGACGCUGAGACACGAAAGCGUGGGUAGAAAACAGG